UACGAAGGUCCCGAGCGUUGUUCGGAAUCACUGGGCGUAAAGGGAGCGUAGGCGGCGCGGUAAGUCAGAUGUGAAAUCCCGGGGCUCAACCCCGGAACUGCAUCCGAUACUGCCGUGCUAGAGGAUUGGAGAGGUAGCUGGAAUUCUUGGUGUAGCAGUGAAAUGCGUAGAGAUCAAGAGGAACACUCGUGGCGAAAGCGAGCUACUGGACAAUUCCUGACGCUGAGGCUCGAAGGCUAGGGUAGCGAAAGGG
rnacentral:rRNA from 1 species